UACGGGGGGAGCAAGCGUUGUUCGGAUUUACUGGGCGUAAAGGGCGCGUAGGCGGCCACCGCAAGUCAGUUGUGAAAUCUCUGGGCUUAACCCAGAAAGGUCAACUGAUACUGCGGGGCUAGAGUGCAGAAGGGGCAACUGGAAUUCUCGGUGUAGCGGUGAAAUGCGUAGAUAUCAGGAGGAACACCGGUGGCGAAGGCGGCCCUCUGGACGGUGACUGACGCUGAGACGCGAAAGCGUGGGGAGCAAACAGG
rnacentral:rRNA from 1 species